rnacentral:tRNA from 1 species
CAGGGAGUAGUUUAAGAAUUUAAAAUGUCAGCUUUGGAAGUUGGUGAUGAGUAUAUUUCCUUUUCUCUGA